AAUGACAACUUUGGAUCCGUUGCUUCAGGAGCUUAUGGAAGGAAUAGCAGUUCUAGGGCUAGUAGAUGUCAUCUGGACCACCACUUAAUGAUGUCACAAACCUAGUCUACAUCCAUCUGCAUAUCUAAUGCCCCAGGUUCCUCUUCUAACUUAUUGUGGUGGUCCGUAGCCUUACGUUAUACCAACCAUGGAGUACAUGGACCUGUUGGUGGCGUUUCUCAGCCUGGUAGUCGUGGUUUCACUGCUGGUAGGGGAAUGCAAUUGACAACAACAAUCAUUUAAAUAGCAUGAAGAUUGUGAAAGAGGUUUAUAAGCGCAAUGAAGUUUUGAGUUUUUAUUCAAACGUUAAUUAGUUAUUUGUUUUGUACGUUUGAUAGUUAGACUUAGG
rnacentral:lncRNA from 1 species